rnacentral:misc_RNA from 1 species
AGCAGCCGCGGUAAUUCCAGCUCCAAUAGCGUAUAUUAAAGUUGUUGCAGUUAAAAGCUCGUAGUUGAAUUUCGGGAUUAAUAUGUUGGUCGUGCCUUGGUACGUACUGGCAUUAUUGAUUCCUACCUUCUGAAGAACCUCGAUGUCAUUAGUUUGGUGUCUUGGGGAAUCAGGACCGUUACUUUGAAAAAAUUAGAGUGUUUAAAGCAGGCUCGCGCUUGAAUACAUUAGCAUGGAAUAAUGAAAUAGGACGUUUGAUUCUAUUUUGUUGGUUUCUAGGAUCGACGUAAUGAUUAAUAGGGAUAGUUGGGGGCAUUAGUAUUCAAUUGUCAGAGGUGAAAUUCUUGGAUUUAUUGAAGACUGACUACUGCGAAAGCAUUUGCCAAGGAUGUUUUCAUUAAUCAAGAACGAAAGUUAGGGGAUCGAAGACGAUCAGAUACCGUCGUAGUCUUAACCAUAAACUAUGCCGACUAGGGAUCGGAUGAUGUUAAUUUUUUAAUGACUCAUUC